rnacentral:rRNA from 2 species
UGGGGAAUAUUGGGCAAUGGGGGCAACCCUGACCCAGCAACGCCGCGUGAAGGAAGAAGGCUUUCGGGUUGUAAACUUCUUUGACGAGGGACGAAAUAAAUGACGGUACCUCGAAAACAAGCCACGGCUAACUACGUGCCAGCAGCCGCGGUAAUACGUAGGUGGCAAGCGUUGUCCGGAUUUACUGGGUGUAAAGGGCGCGUAGGCGGGAGAGCAAGUCAGAUGUGAAAUGUGGGGGCUUAACCCUCAAGCUGCAUUUGAAACUGUUUUUCUUGAGUAUCGGAGAGGCAGGCGGAAUUCCUAGUGUAGCGGUGAAAUGCGUAGAUAUUAGGAGGAACACCAGUGGCGAAGGCGGCCUGCUGGACGACAACUGACGCUGAGGCGCGAAAGCGUGGGGAGCAAACAGG